rnacentral:rRNA from 1 species
CGCCUCUUGUCUAAUAAUAAGAGGUCCAGCCUGCCCAGUGACUUGUUUAACGGCCGCGGUAUCCUAACCGUGCGAAGGUAGCGUAAUCACUUGUUUUUUAAAUAAAGACCUGUAUGAAAGGCACCACGAGAGCCAAACUGUCUCCUUUUUCCUAUCAGUGAAACUAAUCUUCCCGUGAAGAAGCGGGAAUCCCCAAAUAAGACGAAAAGACCCUAUGGAGCUUUAAACUUCACAACACAUUUCCCAAUCCCUCAAUCUUCCAGAAUCCUUUCUUAUUAGACACACUGUUUGUGAGCUUUCGGUUGGGGCGACCACGGAGAACAACCUAUCCUCCGUAAUGAACAACUUAACAAAAAGCCACAGCUUUAUUCAUCAGUAAAACUGACAUUUAUUGACCCAAAUUUUUGAUCAACGAACCAAGUUACCCUAGGGAUAACAGCGCCAUCCACUUUAAGAGCCCCUAUCGACAAGUGGGCUUACGACCUCGAUGUUGGAUCAGGGUAUCCUAGUGGUGCAGCCGCUACUAACGGUUCGUUUGUUCAACGAUUAAAACCCU